rnacentral:rRNA from 1 species
GACGUAGGGGGCGAGCGUUAUUCGGAAUUAUUGGGCGUAAAGAGCUCGUAGGCGGUCUGUUACGUCGGCUGUGAAAACCUGGGGCUCAACCCCGGGCCUGCAGCCGAUACGGGCAGACUAGAAUUCGGUAGGGGAGACUGGAAUUCCUGGUGUAGCGGUGAAAUGCGCAGAUAUCAGGAGGAACACCGGUGGCGAAGGCGGGUCUCUGGGCCGAUAUUGACGCUGAGGAGCGAAAGCGUGGGGAGCGAACAGG